AUGUGUGUCUUGAAAGACAAAAUACUUAAUAGGACAAAAAUAUUCAACCUGCAUCAAUUAUUCAACCUUUUCAUUACCCGACUAGAGAUGUACUAUGAAGCACGUGUGACAGACGUUGCACUUGGCCAUUGGAAGGCAUUCCACCUGUCAAGAUUCCUUGCCACACAAAGUACUAUCAAAGCAUCUGAUAUUUCUCAGGUUGGAGAAAAGAAAUUUCAGGUGAGAUCAUCCACAUCAGGGCACACAUAUACAGUGGACAUGGAGUUGGAGCUCUGCACUUGUCCAGUUGGCCAUAGUGGGGCACCAUGCAAACACCAGGCAGCAGUAGUGCAAAAUUACAACAUCACCUCCAUCAACUUUCUCCCCACAACAGCUGAAAUGAGGGCUGAGCUGCUGAAAAUAACAAAAGGUAAUUAUUUCUUUGUAGCAUAGGUUGUCACACACAUUGACUGAUGCUGUUUUUAAAUACUGUCUUCUUUAGAUAUUUUAACUAUUAAAUAAUUGUAUUAAUUAUACGUCUUGUUCGUGAUGCUGUUUUUAAAUACUGUCUUCUUUAGAUAUUUUAACUAUUAUAUAAUUGUAUUAAUUAUAUGUCUUGUUCAUCUUCACAGCCUCAGUUUCUCUUGACUUUCUAAACCCUUUACGGCAAAAUAUGCCAACGCCAAGCACAAAACAACUAGUACAGCAAUGCAACAUUAGUAUACAUUUUUUAGACAUGCCUCCGAGGCAAGAAACCUGCACUACUGAUCAUCAGUAUCAUCUCAGUGCUGAAGAUGAUGGUCAGUAUAAAGGGAGGGAUCGUGCUGGUUUUUUUAAUGUUUUUUUUUUUCUUUCUUAUGGUGGCAUAUCGAACAGAAACACUCUUGUAACAUUUCAAUUUGUCCACCUGUAUCUUUUGAAUUGUAGAGUCACAUCAGCUGGACCUGUCUUCCACCAGCUCUACACAAUUGCACCAAACAUCACCUAUGCUAGAGGACCCAUACUCCAAUCAACCCUGUGUACAGGGUAACUCAGAGAGUGAGUCCAUGAAGCUUAGAGUUACAUUAAAAAUUCUGAAUAGAUGUUCAUUUGGGGCCAAGCACCUUUUUCUGAGUGUUUUUUUUUUUUUUUUUCCAUACGUUUUCAUAGUCUGCCAUUUGGUAUUCUUGCUUUAACAUUUUUUUGGUCUUUAGUGCAAGCUUUUUAGUAUUUUGAGGGGAUCUCUUUCUACUAAACAAUAUUCUGUAUUAAAUUAUACAUCAUUUAUUUCUGUAAAAAAAUAAAAUUAUUAAAAAAACAUUUUAUAAAAUUUUU
ensembl:lncRNA